UACGGAGGGUGCAAGCGUUAUCCGGAUUCACUGGGUUUAAAGGGUGCGUAGGUGGGCAGGUAAGUCAGUGGUGAAAUCUCCGGGCUUAACCCGGAAACUGCCAUUGAUACUAUCUGUCUUGAAUAUUGUGGAGGUAAGCGGAAUAUGUCAUGUAGCGGUGAAAUGCUUAGAUAUGACAUAGAACACCAAUUGCGAAGGCAGCUUACUACACAGUUAUUGACGCUGAGGCACGAAAGCGUGGGGAUCAAACAGG
rnacentral:rRNA from 1 species